AGCGAACGCUGGCGGCAGGCUUAACACAUGCAAGUCGAGCGCCGUAGCAAUACGGAGCGGCAGACGGGUGAGUAACACGUGGGAACGUACCUUUUGGUUCGGAACAACACAGGGAAACUUGUGCUAAUACCGGAUAAGCCCUUACGGGGAAAGAUUUAUCGCCGAAAGAUCGGCCCGCGUCUGAUUAGCUAGUUGGUGAGGUAACGGCUCACCAAGGCGACGAUCAGUAGCUGGUCUGAGAGGAUGAUCAGCCACACUGGGACUGAGACACGGCCCAGACUCCUACGGGAGGCAGCAGUGGGGAAUAUUGGUCAAUGGGCGCAAGCCUGAUCCAGCCAUGCCGCGUGAGUGAUGAAGGCCCUAGGGUUGUAAAGCUCUUUUGUGCGGGAAGAUAAUGACUGUACCGCAAGAAUAAGCCCCGGCUAACUUCGUGCCAGCAGCCGCCGUAAGAC
rnacentral:rRNA from 1 species